rnacentral:rRNA from 1 species
AUUGAACGCUGGCGGCAGGCCUAACACAUGCAAGUCGAGCGAGCGGCGGACGGGUGAUUAAUUUCUGGGAACCUGCCCGAUGGGGAGGGAUAACUACUCGAAACGCUAUCUAAUCCCCCAUACCAUCACACUUGCCCCCAUGGGAUUAGCUAGUAGGUUAGGUAACGGCUCACCAAGGCGACCAUCCCUAGCUGGUCUGAGAGGAUGACCAGCCACACGGGAACUGAGACACGGUCCAGACUCCUACGGGAGGCAGCAGUGGGGAAUAUUGCACAAUGGGCGCAAGCCUGAUGCAGCCAUGCCGCGUGUGUGAAGAAGGCCUUCGGGUUGUAAAGCACUUUAAGUGGGGAGGCGUUACCAGCAGAAGAAGCACCGGCUAACUCCGUGCCAGCAGCCGCGGUAAUUC